rnacentral:misc_RNA from 1 species
UCGCGGUUUGCACCGGCAGUCUGGCUAGAGUUCCCACCUUUACGUGCUGGCAACUAACCACAGGGGUUGCGCUCGUUAUAGGACUUAACCUGACACCUCACGGCACGAGCUGACGACAACCAUGCAGCACCUUGCAAUCUGCCCGAAGGAAAGGGUGUUUCCACCCCUGUCAGACUGCAUUUAAGCCCUGGUAAGGUUCCUCGCGUAUCAUCGAAUUAAACCACAUGCUCCACCGCUUGUGCGGGCCCCCGUCAAUUCCUUUGAGUUUCAUUCUUGCGAACGUACUCCCCAGGUGGGUUACUUAUCACUUUCGCUUAACCACUCAGCCCUCAAUCGGGCCGAACAGCUAGUAACCAUCGUUUACGGCGUAGACUAC